GUUACUGCGAAGGGGGGACGGAGAAGGCUAUGUUGGCCGGGCGACGGUUGUCCCGGUUUAAGCGUGUAGGCUGGUUUUCCAGGCAAAUCCGGAAAAUCAAGGCCGAGGCGUGAUGACGAGGCACUACGGUGCUGAAGCAACAAAUGCCCUGCUUCCAGGAAAAGCCUCUAAGCAUCAGGUAACAUCAAAUCGUACCCCAAACCGACACAGGUGGUCAGGUAGAGAAUACCAAGGCGCUUGAGAGAAC
rnacentral:rRNA from 1 species